CCUANGGGUGGCAGCAGUUAAGAAUCUUGCGCAAUGGGCGACAGCCUGACGCAGCGACGCCGCGUGGACGAUGAAGGCCUUUGGGUUGUAAAGUCCGAUAAGCAGGGAAGAAUAAGCAGGGUACAAUAUGCCCUGUGAUGACGGUACCUGCCUAAAGCCUCGGCUAACUACGUGCCAGCAGCCGCGGUAAUACGUAUGAGGUAAGCGUUGUUCGGAAUUAUUGGGUGUAAAGGGCGUGUAGGCGGGGGACUAAGUUAGAUGUGAAAGCCACGGGCUUAACUCGUGAAUUGCAUCUAAUACUGGUUCUCUUGAGUUCGGGAGAGGAGAGCGGAAUUCCAGGUGUAGCGGUGAAAUGCGUAGAUAUCUGGAAGAACACCAGUGGCGAAGGCGGCUCUCUGGCCUAGAACUGACGCUAAGGCGCGAAAGCGUGGGGAGCGAACGGGAUUAGAUACCCCUNUANUC
rnacentral:rRNA from 1 species